CUACGGGUAACAGCAGUGGGGAAUAUUGGACAAUGGGCGAAAGCCUGAUCCAGCCAUGCCGCGUGUGUGAAGAAGGCCUUCGGGUUGUAAAGCACUUUCAGUGGGGAAGAAAGCCUUGGGGCUAAUACCCUCGAGGAAGGACAUCACCCACAGAAGAAGCACCGGCUAACUCCGUGCCAGCAGCCGCGGUAAUACGGAGGGUGCGAGCGUUAAUCGGAAUUACUGGGCGUAAAGCGCGCGUAGGCGGUCUGAUAAGCCGGUUGUGAAAGCCCCGGGCUCAACCUGGGAACGGCAUCCGGAACUGUCAGGCUAGAGUGCAGGAGAGGAAGGUAGAAUUCCCGGUGUAGCGGUGAAAUGCGUAGAGAUCGGGAGGAAUACCAGUGGCGAAGGCGGCCUUCUGGACUGACACUGACGCUGAGGUGCGAAAGCGUGGGUAGCAAACAGGAUUAGAUACCCCUGUAGUC
rnacentral:rRNA from 1 species